CAGUAGCCACGGUAAUACGGAGGGAGCUAGCGUUGUUCGGAAUUACUGGGCGUAAAGCGCGCGUAGGCGGUUACUCAAGUCAGAGGUGAAAGCCCGGGGCUCAACCCCGGAACUGCCUUUGAAACUAGGUGACUAGAAUCUUGGAGAGGCCAGUGGAAUUCCGAGUGUAGAGGUGAAAUUCGUAGAUAUUCGGAAGAACACCAGUGGCGAAGGCGACUGACUGGACAAGUAUUGACGCUGAGGUGCGAAAGCGUGGGGAGCAAACAGGAUUAGAUACCCCCGUAGUCCCUGUCUCUUAUAC
rnacentral:rRNA from 1 species